CCCCCCCCCCUUGUUUCGACGCUCUUAUCCCAAAACAACAGCACUAAAUUCCUACAAAAUAAAAGUAAAAAGCCGACGAGGAAUCCUCGAGGGAGCGAGUGCCAAAUGGAGAGUAGCUUAGCGGAAACUAAAACGAGCUGUCUGAGCUGCCGGUGAAGCGUUCCCGUUUUUCUUUCCCCGCUGCACCUGGUUUGGGAAAAGGUCACUCACCGUCUUUGCUUGUCUAAAAACAAAAAAAAAAGAAUUGAAGACGUUUGUAUAAGGUUAUAUUUUUCCAUUGCUCUGCUGAAAAUAGUUAAAACCAAUAAAAUGAUAUGAAACAUUCCCCACGCAGUUCUGGUGAUUUGGCUCCUCCUGUCGUCUGUUGGACUGACGGGAAGUUUUGGACUCUGAUGAUCGGAGGCCGGACUUUGGCUCCUGAGUUCGGUGGCCGCCUCCCACCGACGGUUUGUUUACGCCACAAAGAACCGUGAUUCUUCUUUUUUUACUUCAUGGCUUGUUUGGUAGCAGCAGCUCGGCUCUUCGCUGACGGGGAGAUAUCAUUUUUACAUUUUUUCUUUUUUUGGGACGUUGAGUUUGUUGUUGGUGUGAAGAUCCCGACGGCGCUGCAGAAACCUGAGCGUGCUCAGUGCUGCCGGUCCGCCUCGUCUCCGGGUCUGAACGCUUCACUUUCAGUCGGUAACGAUAAUCAAACACAGAACGACUUCCUCAGAUUUAAAAAAAUAAAUAAAUGAAUAAUAAAAAAACAGGAGUGGAAGUUUUCUGAUUUGGGAAAUAAAAGUUCACAAAUAAUUUUCUUUGAGCAGAAAGUGAAGUGUUUGCAGCCUCGGAGGGCUUUUAUUUUGUAGAGGUGCGGCAGCCGUACUUCCUGUUGACAUGAUGAUCCUGGCAACAAGAUUAUUACUGAAUUGUGAAUCAUUUAAAGCCAAUCUGCUUUUUAUUUCAUAUUCAACUUUAGUGAACUAAUAAAGUCUAUAUUGUACUGAACGCUCUGCUGCUUCUUCUGACCACAAACACAAAAUGUUUCUCAGGUGUGUUCAGGUGCUGCUGCUCCUCCGGACUGGACUGAUCCAGACUCGGUCCAAACACCUGCACGUGUGAAGUACCGCUGCUGUUACACCACAUCCUGCAGGGGGCGCUGCUGCUCCUCAGUUCUGUCGGCCUUUAAACUGAGUUAGUGUCUUGAACAACAACAACAGGAAUUCUUUCUGGGCCUCAGGACCCCGUCCCCCUGGUAGAUCUGUUCUGCUGUUAUUGGCUCUUUAAAGAAUGAGAAACAUUACGAUUAACAGGUUUUAUUUACCUGCUGCAGCUGGAAAAGUGAACAAAAGUGCAGAAACUAAAUGUUGUCAGACACUUGUCCCCGUUUAAAGAUGAAUAUCAUUAAAAACCACCUGGAUUAAUUAAGAUCCUGCAGCAGCCUUCACACGGUCACCUGACAGACGCUUUAAUCCAGAGAGACUAACACCUGAGGAUCAACACGCAACACGUACUGAGAGCUGUGAGCUCGUGCAGCAUCAGCGGGGUAAACACCUGGAGGAAGAGUUCACGAUUAGUGCAACCAAUACAAGAGAACUGAGGAGACAGAAGAGCGCAGGAAGUGAGAUGAGGAACUUCUGAUCAUAAACGGAUCAAUAAAGGCAGAAUUAGGGGACAAGCGGUCCUGUGACGGGGGGAGCAUCAGCCAAUCAGAGCAGAGGAUCGAUCAGCCUGGUUAUUAAUGCCCCC